CUGCCAUUCACAUACACACAUACCGUGACACACGCGCACACACACAACCCUUCGCCGGCGAUGCCGCGACUCCGCCGACUACCGCCCUCCACCGAACGUGGAAGCUCUUCCUUGUCUCCCUCUCUGUCUCAACACUUCUCUCCCCCUACACACGCACACAUACAUUCAUCUCUGUAUAGCGGCUGUCCCGCCGAUUCUGCCGCCGCCGUCGCUGGACUUCGGAUCUCUUGAAUAGUCUUGUCUAUCCUCUACGUUCAGUAUUGCUAUGUUGCAGCUUCUGUUACGAUCAUUAUUGUGCAUUAGUAAUCUUCCCUCUAGAAGCAACUGCCCAAGAACCUUUACAAGGAACAGUAGAAGUUGAGAAAAAAAGGUUAUGGGAGUCUGAAAUGAGGAGCUUGAUAAUUGAUUUAAGAGCUCUCCUUCUGGUUUGUUGUUGGUACCCUUCAUUCUUGCUUGUUUGAGAUUUAGUAAUUUUUCUAGAUAAUCAAAAUUACUUCCACAAUGUGUCUUGAGUGGCAGCAAGUCUCGUGGUUAUCCUCUUCGUGUGGACAUACUAUCUUACCUCACAAAAAGUAGACGGGGGAAGACAACUGCUACUAGCUUUGAAAUCGUGAUUAAUUUAAUUGAUUGCUUACUGUGUUUUUAAAUCGUGAUUUUUUUUCGAUUCACCUAUUAUUUAUGUUUAUGAAUUGUGAACAGACAUUUAGAUGUACAUGGAGAAAAAAAAGUUCUAUUUCCAAUGAUAAAUUUUUAAAUAGGAGUAGUUUUUAAUAUGAAUACUCAUACUCCAGAACAGCGCAUAAUUGAAAAUCAUCUUACUUAAACUCAAAUGUACUACUACUACUUUUUUUAAAAAAUAUUAGUACAUUUUUGUUAAUUUGUUCGACCCCACCAUAAAUAUUUUCUGAAUCCGUCAUUGCUUAUGUUUAUUUCCUUGUUAGUUCACAUUGUUUUUUGGGAUCGGAAUAGCUGAAUCUUUUAAUAGGUAGUGUGGUUUACCUUGCUCAGAUUAUCUUGCUUGGUAUCAUUUAUUUGGUUUGGAGUUCUCAAAGCUAAAUUUUCUUAUGUUUGUUUGCUAGUUAGUUCACAUUCUUUUAAACACGCAUGGAUGCAUUUGGAGUUGAUGAUUAUCUUAAUAGAUUUUUCAUGCUGCCAAUAAAUUUGUUGCAGGAAACGACUACUAAAAGGUUGUACAAGGCCUUUUUCUAAUUUUUUUCAAUGCAGAAUAUGCAGGCAGUCACCCUUCCCUAAUAAUGUUGGCUCAAAAAUUUCCACUUAAUUUUAAGCUCAUGUUGGUUCUCCUUUUAAAUAUACAGAACUACUAGAUGAAAUAAUGGAGCAUAUCUGCAAAGUUGUGGGCAAUGUCAUGAAAAAUUGAGGUAGUACUAUUGCAUUAUUCUUGUUUUAACUUAGUGCUAAAAUGGUCACAAAUUCUCAACUUUGUCGAGUGACAAUCUGCCACAGUCAUGAAUCCUGUAUGAGAUUAAAAAGAGUCAACGCCUUCACAACUACUUAUCAAUUUACGGUGGUUUCCUUCCCAUUUACCAUUUUGCUCGUGAUAAUAAAAUUUAUGUUUUGUUUGAUACUGUUUAAAUUUUGGAAUUGUUGUAUACAUACUAUUUACAUCUACAAAAUUCGCAAAAUAGUGUUCGUGAGCAAAUUUAGUUGAAGGAUUAGUCGAUAAGGAGAUGGCAGGUCGUUAUGAUCAGAAUCCAUUUGCUGUAAGUGUUUCCUCUUCAUCUGGUAUCAAUUGUUCAAUGUUUGGUGGGAUUAGCGUUUUUUGCUUUUAAUUAUUUGUGAAUGUAGUUUUGUGUACUCUUGAGAUGAAGUAUUUGAAUUUAAGAUAGGGUUUUUGAGGAUGAUCAGACUUAGGCUGACUAUGUGGCCUGAUCUAGUAAUUCAAGAGCUCUUGCUCAGAAAAUAUACGAAUUUGAGAACUACAUUUGAGAACUACAUUUGAGAGGUUUCUAAUAGUACCUUCGGAUUGUAGUUUGAGAAAAAAAAAUGAAUGAUAAACAUACUCUAUUUGCAUUUGGAGUAAUUCUUGUUAUGAAUGAUUGUGGAUUUGGGAUAUUUUGUAUCUUUUGUGACUCCAUUUAUGAAUAAUUUUCUUUAUAUGCUUCAAUUUGAGAACUAAGUAGUCUAUUGUGGUUAUUUUAGAUGAUAUUGUCUAUGGAAGAGAGUCUUGCUGUUUACUUUGUAGCAAAUAGCAAAUUUUACUUUAUAAUCAAAGGUUUAUUGAUGGUUUCCUUUUCUCUUAAUUUGCCUAUCUUUGGAUGAACUAGCAGAAUAUCAAUAUUAUUUGUGAGAUAUGAAAGUGAAGAUCUAUGUUGGGAGAACAUGCAGAAUCCGAGUAAUGAAAGGAAACAAAUAUCAGAUCGAUUGGUAUUGUGUUUGAAUCGACUGCUAUUGUUGAAGAGGUGCUAACAGGAACAGAGAAGACCAACGGAGGAAACACGGUGAUGAGGCUGCAAGGGAUGGUAUAACUGGAAAAGAGAAGUCUGACGAAGGAAACACUGUGAUUAGGACUAAUCAUUUUUAGUACUAGUAUUGUUUUUACAGAAGUAAAAGAUGACCAACACUGUGUUUAGUUUGUGUGUUUAAACACAUUAGAUUUGGUGUAAUUGGAUUUGAUACUUUGGAUAUUAUUACAAUUUUCCAUAUUAUUUGAA